rnacentral:rRNA from 1 species
GGAUCUUGCGCAAUGAGCGAAAGCUUGACGCAGCGACGCCGCGUGGGGGAUGAAGGCCCUCGGGUUGUAAACCCCUUUCGGCAGGGACGAAGGGAAACUGACGGUACCUGCAGAAGCAGCCCCGGCUCACUACGUGCCAGCAGCCGCGGUGAGACAUAGGGGGCGAGCGUUGUCCGGAUUCAUUGGGCGUAAAGCGCGCGUAGGCGGCCCGGUAAGUCGGAUGUGAAAUCCCGGAGCUCAACUCCGGAACUGCACCCGAUACUGCCGGGCUCGAGGUAGGUAGGGGAGAUCGGAAUUCCUGGUGUAGCGGUGGAAUGCGCAGAUAUCAGGAGGAACACCGGUGGCGAAGGCGGAUCUCUGGGCCUUACCUGACGCUGAGGUGCGAAAGCUAGGGGAGCGAACAGG